rnacentral:tRNA from 1 species
GCUGAAUUAGCUCAGUUGGUAGAGCGGCUGCCUUGUAAGCAGCGGGUCGGGAGUUCGAGUCUCUCAUUCAGCACCA